CCUACUCUAUUUGUGCUCAUAUUUGCUCUUUGAAUUUCCUCUAGAGUGUUCUUCUUGUCCUUCAAUUUCUCCAGGUUUAUCUGCAACUUCUUUAUGUAGUUCGUGGCUUCAUGUAGCUGAUCCGGCAUUGAAAAAGACUCCUGCAUGGAUUCAAACAACAAAAAAAGAAUCAUUCAUCAAAGUAUUUACUGUUUAAUAAACAUGCAUUCAUAUAGUCUAGGUUUAAUGUUGCAAUUAUAUAAUGUUAACUGCAAUUGCAAGAGUGGGAAAAUAUGAUCAAUCAAAACAAUAAUCAUAAUUAAAAUAGAAAAAUCAAUAUGGUGUAGCCUCAAUUAUGAUCAUAUACACAAAUUUACAACGUGGGUAUAAGAAGAUAGAGGGACAAAUUAAAGAGUGGGAAGACCCUUGAGCUUUGUUGAGGUACAAGUGAGUUGAGCAUGGAUGAGAGAGUCUUCAUUUUAUUUCUUCUAUUUCUCUCAACGAUUUUUCUAUCAGUUCUGGUUGAAGAGUUUUGGUUUUUCUCCAUCAAUAUUGCAGCAGGAAGCAAAAACUCAAUGACCUCAAUAGAAGAAAUUGAACUACUCAUUCCAUAUAAAAGGAGAAGGCUAUAACUUUUUUGAUAAUAGUUGCAAUGUUUGGAUUGGAAUCCCCUAGUCUUUUGAAAAAGAAAAUUAUUAGAUGCUAGUAUUGAUAAAAUUUCUGUGACUGAGAACGUGGUGGGGCUACUCUAUAGGGUGGACCUAGCUCUAGAAAUAGUGUACAAAUUGACAGUUCAGUAGAAAGAGAUUUCUGCAAGAGUCAAGUUUCAAAGAUAUAUUUAUUGUGUUCACAAUGUUAUUUAGAAAAUCUUUGGUCUAGUCAAGAGUGGAAGAGAAGGGUUAUUCUUGUUGGGUUUAUUUAAGUUUGAAGUCACACAUUGAAUGAAUAUGAAGAGAGAAGUAAGAGAAUUUAUAAGUAGAAAAAAGACUAUUAAAUUAAUGUUUUAAGGUUUUAGUUCAAGACAUGAUGUCUCACUUAUGACUUUAUACUCUCCCUAUACUUCGGUAACAAUGGAACUCUCCGGUGGUUGGAGGCUUCCCGAUCGCUAUCUGGUCAAACAAGUGUUAUCAGAGCUUAAGGGAGCAGACCGGAAAGUUGUGUGAUACCCACACUUUAGGGAGAGAUUGAUGGACUCAUUCAAGUGUGAAAUCUCACAUUGUCACAUUCGAUAUGAAGGGAGAAGUGAAAAAGUUUAUAAGUAGAAAAGACUCAUGAAAUUAAUGUCUAAAGUUUUUGUUCAAAACGUGAUGUCUCAUUUAUAAUUUUUCACUCUUCCCAUACUCUAGUAACAAUAGAAUCUCUUUGGAGGCUCCCGAUCACAUUCUUAGUACAACAAUGUUCAAUUUUUGAGCUACAUUUGUGUCUCCAACAAGAAAACAACUUACUAUUUUGUUGUGUAAAUGGCAUAUUUCUUUGAAGUCUUAUCUCAUGUCAAUGAAUAUGAAUGGGAAAGAGAUAAUUAGAAAAUCAUAUAUAUUGAAACAUAAGUAAAUUUCCCAUCUUUUCCCCAAAAGUAACAAAUAUUAAAUAUCUAGAUUGUCAUUUUAGAGAAAAUAGUACAAACAAAAUAAACCAUGCAAAAGUACAACCUUAUCAUACAUGUCAUAGAAAUUCAAACACCUAACCUUAUGUCAUUGCUAAAAUUCACACGAGGAACCCGAUUUCUUAACUCUUAAGUGGUGCCACAAAAAAUAGCAUAAGUUGCCUUUGAUAUAUAUGGCUGGGUUAAUCAUAAAAGGUCAUGUACGCUUUACAUUGAACAAUCUAUUAACUGUAAUAUUAAAGGGAUAAUUAAGAUUUAUAGACUCACCUGAGAGUGUAUUGUGUGCAAAAUUGAAUCUUCAGAAACUAUAUAAUUGGCACUAACAAUAUCUGCUCCUUCUUCACCAAGAACUCGAAUGCACUCUUUGAACAUGAAGUGGCAAUCCAACCCAGUUAUCAAACUAACCACUAAGGCUAAACCCAUUUGUUGGAUCUCUAUUUGUGGAAACUUUGACCCUCCUACUCUAUUUGUGCUCAUAUUUGCUCUUUGAAUUUCCUCUAGAGUGUUCUUCUUGUCCUUCAAUUUCUCCAGGUUUAUCUGCAACUUCUUUAUGUAGUUCGUGGCUUCAUGUAGCUGAUCCGGCAUUGAAAAAGACUCCUGCAUGGAUUCAAACAACAAAAAAAGAAUCAUUCAUCAAAGUAUUUACUGUUUAAUAAACAUGCAUUCAUAUAGUCUAGGUUUAAUGUUGCAAUUAUAUAAUGUUAACUGCAAUUGCAAGAGUGGGAAAAUAUGAUCAAUCAAAACAAUAAUCAUAAUUAAAAUAGAAAAAUCAAUAUGGUGUAGCCUCAAUUAUGAUCAUAUACACAAAUUUACAACGUGGGUAUAAGAAGAUAGAGGGACAAAUUAAAGAGUGGGAAGACCCUUGAGCUUUGUUGAGGUACAAGUGAGUUGAGCAUGGAUGAGAGAGUCUUCAUUUUAUUUCUUCUAUUUCUCUCAACGAUUUUUCUAUCAG
rnacentral:lncRNA from 1 species